rnacentral:misc_RNA from 1 species
GAACAAAGGUAUAGUCAAUAAUUAAAAUUUUUUUGCCUCUUCCUAAAACAGAAAACGUCUGACAUUUCUAGCUUUUAAAAUCUGAUCCUUUUUAUACUUCAUCCUGUGUUUAUGAAAGCAGAUCGUGAUCUGUCACUUAUGGAGAACAAUGGUAAAGUCAGUAAUUAAUCUUUUUUUUUUUUUGUCUAUUCCUUAAACUGAAAGCGUCUGACAUCUCCAGCUUCUAAAAUCUGAUCCCUUUUAUACUUCAUCCUAUGUUUCUGAAAGAAGAUCGUGAUUUGUCGCUUAUGGAGAACAAAGAUAAAGUCAAUAAUUGAACUUCUUUUUUGUCUAUUCCUAAAACUGAAACAUCUGACAUCUCCAGCUUUUAAUAUCUGAUCCUUUUUA